rnacentral:rRNA from 1 species
AGUGAACGCUGGCGAUAGGCCUAACACAUGCAAGUCGAACGGCAGCACAGUAAGAGCUUGCUCUUACGGGUGGCGAGUGGCGGACGGGUGAGGAAUACAUCGGAAUCUACUUUUUCGUGGGGGAUAACGUAGGGAAACUUACGCUAAUACCGCAUACGACCUACGGGUGAAAGCAGGGGAUCUUCGGACCUUGCGCGAUUGAAUGAGCCGAUGUCGGAUUAGCUAGUUGGCGGGGUAAAGGCCCACCAAGGCGACGAUCCGUAGCUGGUCUGAGAGGAUGAUCAGCCACACUGGAACUGAGACACGGUCCAGACUCCUACGGGAGGCAGCAGUGGGGAAUAUUGGACAAUGGGCGCAAGCCUGAUCCAGCCAUACCGUGUGGGUGAAGAAGGCCUUCGGGUUGUAAAGCCCUUUUGUUGGGAAAGAAAAGCAGCAGGUUAAUACCCCGCUGUUCUGACGGUACCCAAAGAAUAAGCACCGGCUAACUUCGUG